rnacentral:lncRNA from 1 species
UUCUCCUUUUCUUUUCAAAUCCGGACUGUCAGUGCUAACUUACAACCGACUACCAAUGCUUAGUGGUUUUAGACACUGGGCACGUUCUUUUUAAACUCUUUCCGCCCUGUGGGCACUAGGAGUGCCUCUUUUUGCAAGCCCAUUAUGGGUUCGGCCAGGCCCACAAUGGGGCUGCCGGGAGGUGAGGGACGGGGCCUGACAUAUCCGAAGGGACCACCUCCCGAAAAAUUCCUGGGGAUUUUUCGACCCGUUCGGAUUUGAGCCCGGGUCCCCCAGAGAGGUUGGCUUUGACCGUUCGGCCAUCCGGCCGCGGACACUGGGCAAUGGUGAGCGAGUGUUGUCGGUUCGGUGAUUGUGGGGUAUUUGAAGACGCUCUUUGUUUUGAAAGAAAAAUUUAUUCUGACGACUUUUCACGACAAGAAUAAUUUUUAAAAUGAACAAAAGAAAUCGCCCAGAAAUAGACGAACACAAGUUGUUAAUUGUAACAACGGUAAAAGCAGUUUGGACAGUCAUCCGUUUCUCUUCGGCAGUUCUCGUAAGCGCCUUUAAAAUUUGUUUUUGUAAUUACUGUAUUUUGUAUUUUGUCGAUUGCGUUGUACCAAACAUUUCGUGUUAUCCGAUUAUAUUCGGCUCGAUUACCUUGGAUAAUCCUGUCUCUACUGUGCGUCGAGAGAAGACACGAUUUAUUUUUACUUUCCCAGCCGUUAUAUUGGAUGACCAUGAUUAAAGUACAGGCGUUUCGAGCUCGAUUGUACCAAAUCUGUUCGACCAAAAACCUCGACCAAAGUCGGUGAACGUAUUAUUCAGACCGUGGAAUUUCGACUUUGGUAAUAAAAGUUUUAUUUCAAAUUUUUGCCACUAGGCGGAAAAUGGGGCUAUACGCGGAACUAGUAUGCAUAUUCGUACUCACGAAUACCAAAUUAUACAAAUUCCAGUCAACUGACAUUAUUAAAUUCGCUUAUCAAUAAGACCGACUUGACGUUGGAGUUAUGGUUACUUAAAGGGCUUGGUUUACCAUGCACACGAUGGAGAGUUCGGCGAAUUUUAAUCAUCGAUUAUUUAUCAGAUGUUGUUAAGACCCACGAAAACACUGCGGAAGUUAUCACAAGAGGACAAACAUGAGUUAAGGAAAAGCUUUACAGUAAAAACUAAAGUUCCUUCCUUACAAAGUGACGUUUGUGCAGGUGUGAAAACUUGCAGAUUAUGAGAAAAGGUGGACAUAUUGCGAGCGGUUCCAAGUUAGAACAUGGAGAAAUUGAGGUGCUCGACAGGACUUUCUUUACGGACGAGGCUUGCUUUACGUUAUCAAUUCACAUAAUCCUAUGCACCCACACGGAGUGUACGAGACGCCGUUGCACAAGGCCACGUGUAGUUUUCCGGAUUUUCUCCAGAGUUGUAAUACCUAUGUGCCAGUUUUCUAUGGCUCACCCGGGAGGCAUCCUCCCUGUCAGAUCGCCCACACGUCGCAUUGCCUUAUAUAAAUAAACCAAACCAAACCCUACUUUCAACAAGACGGUGCAACUUCUCACGCAGCUAGGAGUUCAAUAAUACUAUUGCAUCACACCUUCGGGAAGAAGAUAAUUUCGAAAGGAGUUAGGCUACUACGAUUUCCAGGUGUGGCAACACCAGACUUCUUCUGUGGAGCAGCAAUAGGAUUUGUGUUAAAGAAACAAGUUCCAAAUCUUGCACGGACAGAAAAAAGUCACGUGUCUCUUCACUACUCCUCAUUAUUAAGCAUAUUUUAAUUAAUCCAGCUUAAAACAACAGGAGGAGUCUGAUUGUGUCUAGAAAACGGAGGACAUCUCGGCACCUCAGGUAAUAAAGUCAAAGAAGAAUUUCCUGCGAAUCCGAGGGGACAUGACGAAAGCAAAUAUACAGAGCGUCAAACUGAAGUUUAUUAAAAUCCGUGGCGACUGUUUCGACGCGUGGAUUGUUUAUGACGUCAUUACUUCGUUUCCGGAAGUCUCUGCCAACGUGGAGCUACUUUACGAUUACACUACAACAUCGGAGGCCAGGAACUAACCGAGGCAGGGACCAGCGGCCUCACCCCGUCCUCACCAACGUCAGCAACAGACUAGACGGCGUCGCCUCUUUCGAAGAUUUAAUUUUUUAAGACGUUGCUUUAAAACACCUCUAAGAUCGACGUCGACCAUCGUCAAACGUUUGACAAAAAACAAAGACGAAACCAACUAUUCUGGGCAGAAACUCUAUCGGUCGUUUAUUCGUCCCAAUUAUUUACAUAAAGGAAAAAAAGAUUAAUGAAAAUACGGGCAAAGUUAAAGACGAGUGUCUUGGUCGAUUAGAUUACGAUAUAAUAAACGAAUUGAAAGAUCAUUCUGCCGAAAACUUCUUAAAAGGUAUGUUUUCAUUUUAUAUUUAUAUGAUAAUAGAUAUCUCAUCACCUGGAACUCAGUAAAACUAUAUUUUAACAUUAAAAACAGGCAUUCUUACAUUAGUUAUAAAAAAAAACAACGUUAAAAUCCUAAUAUAUAACGACACAAGUUAAUCAAAUCUGAAUAAUAUAUAUGACAAAUUAUAGGGAACGUUCGCACAUUUUUGCAUAGUAAAUCUUUCUUUCACUGUCACAAGCAAAGGUGGCCAAGACCAAGUUGUACACAGCUGCUUCUUAAUGCUGUCUUUAUGUUCCUCGAUUCUAGUGUUCAAAGAUCUAUACGAUCUAAGCCUUUCUCAAACUCUUUCGUAAUGCCUUUGCGUCGUAUGAGACAUCGAAGCCGUCCAAAAAUCACCGCUACACCGAAAAUUCUUAACACAUCGAGCCUUUUUAUAGCGUGAGGUAGUGAUUCUAAGGCAUUCUGGAGGCUUUAUCUGGCCUACUGUCAUUUCACCAGGCCCGCAAUUAUAAUUUGUAAGAAGCCACGUCACUGUAGUGUCGAGUGGAGAAACAACCCAAUGCCAGUAGUUGGUCGAGGGUUGGUCGAGCUAGACACGUGGAAUUUACCACGUUUUCUUCACCUAAAUAGCGACCAGCUUCCUAUAGAAGAAAGUCCGGAGGCACAUGGCCGAAGUACCCCUCCCCGUGUAAACGUUUACCCACGUAAAUUGCCUUCUUCCGUCUUACAAUCCAAUUUUAAAAGUAUCAAUAAGUAUAAAAAUUUAAUUUUUUCUAAUUGGAUUUAUCGAACUAAAUACAAAAGCAGAAUUUUUUAAUAUUCUUACAAUAAAUUUAUAUCACAUUUUAAAGGAAUUAUAGGUAUUCAAAAGAUGAAAAUAAACAAAUUGCGAUUAUAAUAAAGGAGACACGAGGAUAAACAAGCGAUUCUCCAAUGCGACUCCGACACGUGUUAAGUAAUACAUCAGUGUCGAGCCGGAGAGUUUGAACUUUGACACUAUCGCUAAUAUAUACAAUAUGACUACUUAAACCGAGUCGAGAAAAGAGGACGUUUGACAAACAGAAAACAUCGCGUUCCAUCGUUAACUUCUAAACUGUCUAAAGAAAGGAAAUAACAAGCUAAAAUACGAGCGCAGGUCUCAUACUUCCAUCAACGUCUACCGGUGAAAGUCCAGAGAUGGUGUCGGGUUAACUCUCUAACACAGACCUUUCACGUGACCCGAACCGAUCUUAUUUCCAAAUAGUAACAAGGGAACGAACCAAUCAGAAAACAACGAGAGGGAGUAAGAACCAAUCGGAAAAAAAAAUUCGUAAUGAUAUCUUCUAAAUAUCCAGAACAUCAAUGUCAAACAACAGAUUCUUUCUAAUUUCUGCCGACUAAACGAGCAGUGUCCUUCUGAUAGACUGAUACGACAUUCAUAUGACGCAAGUCGAUCUGUCACUUCAUCCUCACCGUCCACUGAACACUGUGACUUUUCGUCCACCAGCCGAAUUUACGUUGCCACUGCCCGGGUCGAAGUUAUUGCACAAUAACUUCGACCCGGAGGUGACUCUCCUUUAUUCCCCAACCGAAAGCCUCGGAAAUCAAUCUAGAAGUCGACCGACAUCGUCCUGCAUCGAGUCUCUUCACUCUCCGGCCCCCCUGGGCCUCGGAAAUCAAUCUAGAAGUCGAC